CGCGUAGGUGGUAGUGCAAGUCUGAGGUGGAAUCCUAUGGCUUAACCAUAGAACUGCCUUGGAAACUGCAUUACUUGAGUCAGUGAGGGGAGGGUAGAAUUCCUGGUGUAGCGGUGAAAUGCGUAGAUAUCAGGAGGAAGGCCGGUGGCGAAGGCGGCCCUCUGGCGCUGAACUGACACUGAGGCGCGAAAGCGUGGGGAGCAAACAGGAUUAGAUACCCUGGUAGUCCACGCCCUAAACGGUGGGUACUAGGUGUAGGGCUCGUAAGGGUUCUGUGCCGAAGCGAAAGCAUUAAGUACCCCGCCUGGGGAGUACGGCCGCAAGGUUGAA
rnacentral:rRNA from 1 species